rnacentral:lncRNA from 1 species
AUUUAUUGUGGUGCUAUUUUUAUGUGGUGCUGAGGAUUGAACCCAGUGCCUCACACGUGCUAGGCAAGCACUCUACCGCUAAACCACAACCCCAGCUCUAAUCUAGACCUCUCCUACAGUCUGGAAGCUCCUAGGAGGCAAAACCUGUAUUUCAUUCUCUUUCCCCUCUCUGUCCUAGCCCAGUGCCUGGUUCAGGAAUGUUUGUUGGCUCCAGCCUUGGGGACGGUUUGUAAGGAGGGGUGAAUUACAGGUCUACUCAGAGUGACCCACUCUCUGCAAACUAUAUACAAACUGCUCUUACAAAAAACUGUUCCUCAGUGGGAGGAGAAAAUGCAGUUUCAUUGCAAGGAUGAGGUACAAGUCGGCCUGGUAGGUCUGCAGCUUUCUAGCCAUUCCUGUAGACUAUGAGAGAAGCAAUCUCCUGGCUGCAGACAGAGAUCAAUAAUCCAAGGGGACAGGUGAGUGUUCAGAGGCCCAACUUCCGAGCAAACAGUGACUUUGAAAGAUGAGAAAACAGUGCCGACCAACACAACUGAGAGAGGUCAGAGGCAGCACUUUGUGCCAACAAAUAAGAAUGUGGAGAAAUGGUAGAAGAGGUGCCUCCUCUGGUAGGAAUCUUCUGUGUGAGGUUUCGAGAUGCCCUUGUCAUCAUGAGGGAAUCCAAGGAGGUCUGGAAGCUGCCUCGACUCAGUCCUUCUAGGUUCUUGACUGUGUGACAGAACAGAUUUUAAGGAUGGGUCAGGUUUCAACAGAGAGGAAGAGCUUUCUUAGAAAGUGAAAGGCAAGCCCCUCUGGUGAUGCAUAUCUGUUAUCCCAGCUACUCAGAAGACUGAGGCAGGAGGCCAGCGUGGACAACUUAGCAAGACCUUGUCUCAAAUAAAAAAUAAAUAAAAAGGGCUGGACAUGUAGCUCAGUGAUAGAGUACCCUGGGGUUCAAUCCCCAGUAACUCACUCCCUCAAAUUGAGAUGCACCCCCAUGGUUUAAUGUUGAGUUUUUAUUAGGGCAUACAAUGAAGUGGAAUAUGUAUGAUCCAAAAGGGCUGGACUUUUCUCAUGGCUGGGAAAUAUUGAGCAAGGUCGUGUAUCCCCAUUAGGAGGUCUGGUCUGGUAUGUAGGUUUCAGCUUACGUUAAGAUCUCUGGUGGUUGGUGGAGGUGAUUUGUGUGAUCGGACAAGAUCACACAAAUGGUUUGACCAGAUGUUAGCUCUCGUCUCCUGAGGUUACCUGUCUCUUUCUAUUGAGGUCUUGUUCCUGUUUUGCAACAUUCCAGAAAACUUAUAGGGAACUAGAAAGUGACAGAGAGUCAUUUUAUGAACUGUGUAAUAUGUCCUUACAUUUUGGCCCUUUUCUGUCCUUUGAGAUUCUUUGUACACAGUUCACAAGUUGUUCCAAGUUGUUUAUUCUAUAUUUUAACAGGAAUAUUUUUCCUAAAGAGACUUUCCUAAAGAGUUCUUUGCAUAUAUCUACAUUUGUAUCUCACCCUCAAGUAACAGGCAUGGUACUUCCUGAGAAGCCGACAUUCAUCUUAAUGCAGGACUCAGUGUCCACCUGGGCCAGACUCCCUGUCCUUGCAGCACACAGGACAAGGCUGGCAAACCAGCACAAAAUAUCCGAGCAGACACCUCAGAUCUCCUACCCUGGGAGCCUGGAGUGCAGACAGACAGUGUGGUACCCAAUCUCUUUAAAAGGAUUUUAUAAAAUCUCUUUAAAAGGAUUUUAUACCAUUUCCAUUUAGAUUUACAAAGUGG